UACGGAGGGGGCUAGCGUUGUUCGGAAUUACUGGGCGUAAAGCGCACGUAGGUGGCUUUGUAAGUUAGAGGUGAAAGCCCGGGGCUCAACUCCGGAAUUGCCUUUAAGACUGCAUCGCUAGAACGUCGGAGAGGUAAGUGGAAUUCCGAGUGUAGAGGUGAAAUUCGUAGAUAUCGGGAGGAAUACCUAUGGCGAAAGCAGGUUACUGGGCCAUCACUGACGCUGAGCUGCGAAAGCUAGGGGAGCAAACAGG
rnacentral:rRNA from 1 species